rnacentral:rRNA from 1 species
CCCCGGUAAACGGCGGCCGUAACUAUAACGGUCCUAAGGUAGCGAAAUUCCUUGUCGGGUAAGUUCCGACCUGCACGAAUGGCGUAAUGAUGGCCAGGCUGUCUCCACCCGAGACUCAGUGAAAUUGAACUCGCUGUGAAGAUGCAGUGUACCCGCGGCAAGACGGAAAGACCCCGUGAACCUUUACUAUAGCUUGACACUGAACAUUGAGCCUUGAUGUGUAGGAUAGGUGGGAGGCUUUGAAGUGUGGACGCCAGUCUGCAUGGAGCCGACCUUGAAAUACCACCCUUUAAUGUUUGAUGUUCUAACGUGGACCCGUAAUCCGGGUUGCGGACAGUGUCUGGUGGGUAGUUUGACUGGGGCGGUCUCCUCCUAAAGAGUAACGGAGGAGCACGAAGGUUGGCUAAUCCUGGUCGGACAUCAGGAGGUUAGUGCAAUGGCAUAAGCCAGCUUGACUGCGAGCGUGACGGCGCGAGCAGGUGCGAAAGCAGGUCAUAGUGAUCCGGUGGUUCUGAAUGGAAGGGCCAUCGCUCAACGGAUAAAAGGUACUCCGGGGAUAACAGGCUGAUACCGCCCAAGAGUUCAUAUCGACGGCGGUGUUUGGCACCUCGAUGUCGGCUCAUCACAUCCUGGGGCUGAAGUAGGUCCCAAGGGUAUGGCUGUUCGCCAUUUAAAGUGGUACGCGAGCUGGGUUUAGAACGUCGUGAGACAGUUCGGUCCCUAUCUGCCGUGGGCGCUGGAGAACUGAGGGGGGCUGCUCCUAGUACGAGAGGACCGGAGUGGACGCAUCACUGGUGUUCGGGUUGUCAUGCCAAUGGCACUGCCCGGUAGCUAAAUGCGGAAGAGAUAAGUGCUGAAAGCAUCUAAGCACGAAACUUGCCCCGAGAUGAGUUCUCCCUGAGACUUAGAGUCUCCUGAAGGAACGUUGAAAACGACGACGUUGAUAGGCCGGGUGUGUAAGCGCAGCGAUGCGUUGAGCUAACCGGUACUAAUGAACCGUGAGGCUUAACCUUACA